CCACGGCACAGUCCCCAAAGGGCUGAGGUUGGCCUAUCAAAGAGAAUACGAAGGGACAGAUGCUCCUGAGGAUUAUGUGAUUUGCACAUUGAUUUAUCUCCUUUGACCUAGAGGUUUCUCCUGACUCAUGCAAGUGUGAAUGCAGGAAAAAAAAUAUUAAUGAAGUUCAGCAGCUUUCCUUGGAAUUAAUCAAACUUCAAGAAAUCCUUUCUCAGAAAAUUUUGGAAUGGAUUCUUGUCUAAAUAAAUUUGCCAUAGUAAAUGACAUACACAAAGUUAAAGCCCCAAUCUACGUAAAAACAAAUGGUCUCUGAAGCAAGCAGCUCCCUUGGAACUGGAGGAAAAAGCCCGGUAUCUGCAAAAUGGCACUGGAUUAUUUGCUGAUCCAAAUGGUUAUCACACUGUUUCCUGCAAUGUCACAUUGUAUGUGCAAUGCCAACAUCCUUCAUCCAGGCAGAACUUUAUAUUUUAUGGAUGAUCUGAAGCACCAAAGAAAGCGUUAGACCUGAAGUGCCUAAAAACAAACCAAGAUCAGCGCAGACUGAAAAGCACAAAGAUCAUAUCUCUUUGUGCGUGAAAUUUCCAAAUCAGCCUAUGAAAAUUCUUCAACCAUAGAAGGUGUCCAAUAUGCUAUCACCUCUCAAAAGACUAAGUGUUUGGAAGGCGCUAAGCAAAGUGAUAGAUACUUUUGAUAAACUUGUAUUCUGUGUUAAGGUCAGUACAUAUUUCAGUUUUCACACAGUUUCAACCUACCAUUAAUUGAUCUAUGUUGAUGGAGGAUUUAUUAUUCACAUGUCUUUAUACCUAUCUAGUGUCAAUGUAGGACUUUUUUAAAGUUAUUUUAAAAGCAUUUAGGUAUCUACAAAGUUGUUUGGCACCUGAAUUCACUUAGCAGUAUCGCCCAUAAUUCAUUGUAUUUUGUAAAGUGAUGUUCUAUACGUUGUUAUAAAAAAUGAAGCAAUGAUGUCAUUCAUAAAUAAUUUCAUUAAUAAUUUGAGCACUUAUCAAAUACAAGUUACCAAAAAUUGACUUCAAAGGGAUGUUAAUGAUGCUAUGCUGUUAUUAAUAGCCUGGUCCUCUUACAAAAAUGUAUAUACUUGGUAUAUAUACUUGGUAUACUUGUUAUACAUACUUGGUAGGAUUUAAGAAACUGCCGUGCAUUCAGAAUUAGUCAUUAAAAUUAUUAGCUAUUCUUCAUAUUCCUAAAAUAAGAUAGACGAGUGUCAUACUAAAUACGUCAGAGAAAAGUGUAGCUCUGUCUGGGGCCUUGGCAAGUAAUGGUUGAUCCCAUCUAAGAAUUUUAUUUUAAAUAUUCAAGUGAAUUGAUUUUUUUGUUACCUCUGUAAGUCUGAUCACUUGAGUGUUUGUUAACGUAAUAACACAAAACAUUUGCAAGUCAAAACACAUUUAUCUUCAAACCUUGAAAAGUGUUCACAAGCUUUUGUCGUUUUUGUUUAUUGGCAGUGCAAUAUCGAAUGCUGUUUCUCACAGAUAAUGAAUGGCAUGUCUGGUAACUCUAUAUGAGAUAUUCUUAGAAGCUAAAGCAUUCUUAAAAGGCGAAUUAAUAAGAAUAGUAAAAAUUGACAUUGAUAGUAAUUGCAUCUAAAAAGUCAUUUUACGUACACUGAUGGGAAAAAGAAAGGUCUGCAAUGAAUAAUAUUUUACCCAGGUAGGAAGUCUAUUACACAGAUUGUUGUUGAUCGUUCUCAAUUUUUAACAUAUAAAAGGGAAAAACUGGUGAAAAAUGAUUUAGCUUUAAAGCUAUUUUGCUACUCUGCCAUAUUUCCCUCUACAAAAUGUCUGCAUUCUCAACAUAAACUGCAUGUUAACUUCAUAUAUAACUCCACAGUUAUGUACUGUGCCAUAAAUUAGCACAGAAAGUGAAAGCAUUAGCAAUUUGACACAUUGCCAGUGCUUAUGAUGUCAUGCAAUAAAUUACCAAACUUGGAACCUUUCUAAACA
ensembl:lncRNA